rnacentral:rRNA from 1 species
UACGGAGGGGGCUAGCGUUGUUCGGAAUUAUUGGGCGUAAAGCGCACGUAGGCGGCUUGGUAAGUCAGAGGUGAAAGCCUGGAGCUCAACUCCAGAAUUGCCUUUAAGACUGCCGAGCUAGCAGGUGAGAGAGGUGAGUGGAAUUCCGAGUGUAGAGGUGAAAUUCGUAGAUAUUCGGAAGAACACCAGUGGCGAAGGCGGCUCACUGGCUCAUACUGGACGCUGAGGUGCGAAAGCGUGGGGAGCAAACAGG